GGGAGUGAAAAACUCCCUCGCCGGAAGACCAAGGGUUCCUGUCCAACGUUAAUCGGGGCAGGGUAAGUCGACCCCUAAGGCGAGGCUGAAAAGCGUAGUCGAUGGGAAACGGGUUAAUAUUCCCGUACUUCUUACAAUUGCGAUGGGGGGACGGAGAAGGCUAGGUGGGCCUCGCGACGGUUGUCGAGGUUCAAGUGCGUAGGCAGGGGGAUUAGGCAAAUCCGGUUCCCUAUAUGCUGAGACACGAUGUCGAGCUACUACGGUAGUGAAGUCAUUGAUGCCAUGCUUCCGGGAAAAGCCUCUAAGCUUCAGAUUGUAAGGAAUCGUACCCCAAACCGACACAGGUGGUCGGGUAGAGAAUACCAAGGCGCUUGAGAGAACUCGGGUGAAGGAACUAGGCAAAAUGGUACCGUAACUUCGGGAGAAGGUACGCUC
rnacentral:rRNA from 1 species